rnacentral:lncRNA from 1 species
UAACAGUCUUGCUUGGAAAUUUUUAUUUUGGCCUGGAUUGACCUUGAAAAGCAAAUCCAUAUUGCUGCAUAAUUACAUAGUACUUCCCCUGUAAAAAUAUAUAUAAGAGCGUUUACUCACUUCUCUAGUGAUCUAAACACUCUCUUAUAUUUCUUAUAAUUACAUAGUACUUCCCCUGUAAAAAGUCACUCACUAUUCCAGUUUAUGUGGUGCAAAAUUCACAAUCGUAGUGCUUGUAAUAUUGUGAAACAUAUAAAUUUUUUUUGUAUGGAUGCCUGCAUUAUGUUGCUUGUUAUGUCAAUUGCUAAA